rnacentral:rRNA from 1 species
AAAUAAGGGGGGCCUCUGGUGGUGAGCUUAAUCGCAAAGCUGCUGGAGGCCGCAGAGAAAUGGCUCUUCCAACUGUUUAACAAAAACACAGGUCUCUGCUAAGUCGAAAGACGAAGUAUAGGGGCUGACGCCUGCCCAGUGCUGGAAGGUUAAGGGGAGAGGUUAGGCGCAAGCCGAAGCUUUGAGCCGAAGCCCCAGUGAACGGCGGCCGUAACAAUAACGGUCCUAAGGUAGCGAAAUUCCUUGUCGGGUAAGAUCCGACCCGCACGAAUGGCGUAAUGAGAGGAGCACUGUCUCAACGAGGGACUCGGCGAACAUUGAAGGACGUGUGAAGAUACACGUGACCCGCAGCGGGACAAAAAGACCCCGUGAAGCUUUACUACAACUUGCCAUUGAGUUAGGGCUAAACCUGUGUAGUAUAGGUGGGAGGCUUUGAAGCUGGGACGCCAGUCUCGGUGGAGCCACCGUUGAAAUACCACCCUGGUUUAUUCUUGGCUCUAACCUGUCGCCGUUAUCCGGCAUGGGAACAGUGGCUGGUGGGUAGUUUGACUGGGGCGGUCGCCUCCGAAAGCGUAACAGAGGCGCCCAAAGGUUCCCUCAGGCUGAAUGGAAACCAGCCGUUGAGUGUAAAGGCACAAGGGAGCUUGACUGCAAGACCAACAAGUCGCGCAGGGACGAAAGUCGGGCUUAGUGAUCCCACGGUUCAGAGUGGAAUGGCCGUGGCUUACCGGAUAAAAGCUACUCCGGGGAUAACAGGGUAGUCUGGUCCAAGAGUUCAUAUCGACGACCAGGUUCGCCACCUCGAUGUCGGCUCAUCACAUCCUGGGGCUGGAUAAGGUCCCAAGGGUUGGGCUGUUCGCCCAUUAAAGUGGUACGUGAGCUGGGUUCAGACCGUCGUGAGACAGGUCGGUCUCUAUCUGCUGUGGGCGUAAGGGAUUUGAGAGAAGCUGCCCCUAGUACGAGAGGACCGGGGUGGACGGACCUCUAGUGUGCCAGUUGUUCUGCCAAGAGCAUUGCUGGGUAGCUACGUCCGGCAGAGAUAACCGCUGAAAGCAUCUAAGUGGGAAACUCGUCUCAAGAUUAGAUCCCUCAUCCGUAUGGAGUAAGACCGCUAGAAGACUACUAGUUUGAUAGGCGGCAGGUGUAAGCGCAGUAAUGUGUUCAGCUCAGCCGUACUAAUGGUCGAGGGCUUACGUUU